rnacentral:rRNA from 1 species
GUGGGGAAUAUUGGACAAUGGGCGGGAGCCUGAACCAGCCAAGUCGCGUGAAGGAAGAAGGAUCUAUGGUUCGUAAACUUCUUUUGCAGGGGAAUAAAGUGCAGGACGUGUCCUGUUUUGUAUGUACCCUGAGAAUAAGGAUCGGCUAACUCCGUGCCAGCAGCCGCGGUAAUACGGAGGAUCCGAGCGUUAUCCGGAUUUAUUGGGUUUAAAGGGUGCGUAGGUGGUUUGAUAAGUCAGCGGUGAAAGUUUGCAGCUUAACUGUAAAAAUGCCGUUGAAACUGUCGGACUUGAGUGUAAAUGAGGUAGGCGGAAUGCGUGGUGUAGCGGUGAAAUGCAUAGAUAUCACGCAGAACUCCGAUUGCGAAGGCAGCUUACUAAGCUACAACUGACACUGAAGCACGAAAGCGUGGGGAUCAAACAGGAUUAGAAACCCUAGUAGUCC